UACAGAGGUCUCAAGCGUUGUUCGGAUUCAUUGGGCGUAAAGGGUUCGUAGGCGGCGCGGUAAGUCGGGUGUGAAAUCUCGGAGCUUAACUCCGAAACUGCAUUCGAUACUGCCGUGCUUGAGGACUGGAGAGGAGACUGGAAUUUACGGUGUAGCGGUGAAAUGCGUAGAUAUCGUAAGGAAGACCAGUGGCGAAGGCGGGUCUCUGGACAGUUCCUGACGCUGAGGCACGAAGGUCAGGGGAGCAAACGGG
rnacentral:rRNA from 1 species